UACGAAGGGGGCUAGCGUUGUUCGGAAUCACUGGGCGUAAAGCGCACGUAGGCGGAUUUUUAAGUCAGGGGUGAAAUCCCGAGGCUCAACCUCGGAACUGCCUUUGAUACUGGAGAUCUUGAGUCCGGAAGAGGUAAGUGGAACUGCGAGUGUAGAGGUGAAAUUCGUAGAUAUUCGCAAGAACACCAGUGGCGAAGGCGGCUUACUGGUCCGGAACUGACGCUGAGGUGCGAAAAGCGUGGGGAGCCAACAGGG
rnacentral:rRNA from 1 species